rnacentral:rRNA from 1 species
CAGAGGUGUAAGUGCAGUAAUGUAUUAAGCUGACUGAUACUAAUAGGUCGAGGGCUUGACCA